rnacentral:rRNA from 1 species
UACAGGGGGGGCAAGCGUUGUUCGGAAUUACUGGGCGUAAAGGGUCUGUAGGUGGCCCACUAAGUCAGACGUGAAAUCCCUCAGCUUAACUGGGGAACUGCGUCUGAUACUGGAUGGCUUGAGUGUGGGAGAGGAAUGCGGAAUUCCAGGUGUAGCGGUGAAAUGCGUAGAUAUCUGGAGGAACACCGGUGGCGAAGGCGGCAUUCUGGACCAUAACUGACACUGAGAGACGAAAGCCAGGGGAGCAAACGGG